rnacentral:lncRNA from 1 species
UGCCUCCUCCAAUUUUGUAAGACAUGUUAGCUAGGUUAUUCCUGGGAUUAUUAUAUUGAGGUAAAAAAUAUAUAUACACACACAUAUAUAUGUAAUUUGCUGCAGUAUAAAGAAAUUCAAAUAAAAGUCUAAAAUAGUACCUGGUUCCAUGAAAAAGCUUAAACCAUCUUAACUCAGCUUUAAAUAAAUAUAUAUAUGGAAAAAACUGCAUGAAAGAAGUGAAAUAUUAGGCAGAAUUCUUCCUUUCCAUCUACUCAUGAAAGACCUGGUGGAGAAAUUGAAUGUCAGUUUGCAGGAUUUACAUUUUUGAACAGUUAUAAUGAAUCCAUCUCUGUCCACUGAGCUGUUUCUAGGAGGUUUCGGACAUACUGACACAUGUGGCAUUGUAGUCACCUCCAGCUGACCCAGUGAUUGAUUUCAGAGGAGCCCUUAGGUUCUGUAGCACACACCAUUUUGAAAUCUGCUGCAUUCUGUACAUUGAAAAGCCUCCACUUACACAUACUUUUCUGCAGACUUAUAUUCCCAGAUGAGGCAGCAACAAAUUUCAGGCUCUUUGCCCCUUUUAGUGACAAAGUAUGGAAUUCAUCCCUUUGAGAAGCCAUCCUGAGACUAUCUAUGGAUUUUGAUAAUAAGAAUUCUGAUGAUUUUGCUGUAGCAAUAUGCCUAACUCUUUGCCCCUGGACUACCUUGGAGAAAGAUAAGGGAUAAAAGAUAUCAAUGCUCCAGGGUCCUGGCGAUGCCAGUAAAAUGAUUCAGAGUUGAAGAAAAUACUUACUGAUUCUUUUUAGGUAAAUUUGAUCUGCAAAACAAUUACCACCUUACCUUUGGCCAGCCUUGACAGCAGACUGUCCAUCUUGCUCUGAUGUCCUUUGCCUCUCAUUCCUUAACACUCCUCUUGUGUUAGGAAGCUCACAAGGAGCAAGUGAUUAGCUUCAUUCCAUAUCAAUCCCCCAGUUUUUCUUCCAGUUUCAAAGCUUGUGAAGGAGGGUUGAGUUUAUAAUCAUGUCUCGACUUUAAGACAUUGUUCUAAAGACAGUCUUUCCUUACAAUUUUCUUUGAAUUUUUAGUCAUCUCAUCAGUUAAUAUAUAGUCAUCAUUUUCC